rnacentral:rRNA from 1 species
UACAGAGGGGGCAAGCGUUAUUCGGAAUUAUUGGGCGUAAAGGGCGCGUAGGCGGCCUGGCAAGUGGAAGGUGAAAUCCCUCGGCUUAACCGAGGAACUGCCUCCCAAACUGCUUGGCUUGAGACCGGGAGAGGUGAGUGGAAUUCCCAGUGUAGCGGUGAAAUGCGUAGAUAUCAGGAGGAACACCUAUGGCGAAGGCAGCUCGCUGGGACGGUAUUGACGCUGAGGAGCGAAAGCGUGGGGAGCAAACAGG